UACGUAGGGGGCAAGCGUUGUCCGGAAUCAUUGGGCGUAAAGAGCGUGUAGGCGGCUCGGUAAGUCCGCUGUGAAAGUCCAGGGCUCAACCCUGGAAUGCCGGUGGAAACUGUCGAGCUAGAAUCCGGAAGAGGCGAGUGGAAUUCCUGGUGUAGGGGUGAAAUCCGUAAAUAUACGAAGGAACGCCAAAAGCGAAGGCAGCUCUCUGGGUCCCUACCGACGCUGGGGUGCGAAAGCAUGGGGAGCGAACAGG
rnacentral:rRNA from 1 species